GAUGCAAUACGAUAACGAAGGUGUUCUGCGACCCUGUGCCUUCACCUCGAAGAAAAUGUCGCCCGCUGAAUGCAACUAUGAAAUUUAUGAUAAGGAGCUCCUAGCGAUCAUACGAUGCCUUGAAGAAUGGGAGUCCGAACUCAUGAGCGUCGAGAAGUUUGAAAUUGUCACCGAUCAUAAGAACCUGGAGUACUUCACAACCACUCGUAAGCUCACCGAGAGGCAUAUGCGUUGGUCAUUGUUCCUCAGCCGUUUUUCGUUCACAAUCCGUUACCGACCAGGAGUAGAGAACACCCUUGCGGACGCCCUGUCCCGCCGAGAACAAGACAUGCCAUCUGACGAUCUGGAUGACAGGUGGAAACACCGAGAGCAUCGGUUAAUCGACCCCGCGAUCAUAAAGAGUCCCACGCAACCAGAUGAACCCCACGUACGCGUUAACCAGUCCCGAACUCAAGACCCC
rnacentral:sRNA from 2 species